rnacentral:rRNA from 1 species
CCCAGGGCGUACACACGUGCUACAAUGGGUGGUACAAAGAGAUGCCAACUCGCGAGGGUGAGCAAAUCUCCAAAAAAGCCGUUCUCAGUUCGGAUUGAAGUCUGCAACUCGACUUCAUGAAGUCGGAAUCGCUAGUAAUCGCGGAUCAGCAUGCCGCGGUGAAUACGUUCCCGGGCCUU